rnacentral:lncRNA from 1 species
UUCAGUAGUGAAUCUGUCUAAAGUAAAAAUAACAAGUUUUCAGUAGAUAUACUGAUAUAGCUUUGGCUCAUUGGCUGUCACAUAAAUUAAGCAUUACAAUUUACAAGAUCAAACACCAAGAAUCCAUCCAUUAAAAUUUGAUUUUAUGCAGUGUUGAUCAACAUUGUCAUCCAUAGAAGAGGUGAUUCAACAAAUUUGUGUCAAACGUGGCAUGACAGAUAAGCAAAAGUCCACCAGAAAAAAAUGUUUUCAACUUCACAAAACUACAACACCGAAACGAUAUGAAAUGACCAAGUGAAUAUCGGGCGAUUUACAAACUGAUACCAAUUCACAAAACACGGCGCAUUUUAGAUUCAUUCAAUUCCCAAAAAGUUUCGAUACAGUUAUCUCGAAUCGACCAAAUGGAGAACAACCUUCAACUUGUUCUUCUUCAUGUUCUUCUUCAAUUGGAACAAUUUCUCCAUCCAAGUCAUCUCUAAGAUUAACAAUUCCAUCACUAAUCAAUUUCUUCCUCCUCUUCACGACUCUAGAAUCAUCGAAAUCACUAUCUUCCAUCAAUUCAGUUGAUGGCCAUUCGAAACCUCUAGAAACCCUAGAUUUCACCUCUUUUUCUUCUCCUCUUCUAUCUAUGUUCUUCAUUUUCGAACGAAUUGCAGAUAGCAGAAUUGGGUCCAAGUAAUCUUCAAGCUUAUUCAUGUUCACUUUCCUCGUUUUGAUCGGAUCGCCACGAUUCCUUCAUUUUUAACAAAUUAAUUUGACAAAAAUUGCAAAUUUGAAUUCAAGAGAGAGAGAGAGAGAGAGAGAGAGAGAGAUUACUGAGAUCUAAUGGUGGAGAAUGGUGUUGCAGAAGAAUGAUGAGAAGAAGGUCGGACAAGGCGCUUUUGAAUCUCUUCAGUCGUAGCAAGUGGGUUUGAUGUCCCGCUAAACAUUUUCUCCGAUCAUAUCAAAGCGCGAAACUGUUUGAGCUAGAAAUGGGAAUUUGUAAGUUCUUUAUUUCACUUUCACCCCCCAUCUCAUCUGUUAAAUUACCUAAAUCUCCUUGGUUUAUUUUCUAAAUUAAUAAUUUUCGAUAAGUAUAUUUAAUAUUUGAUAAGUUAAUAAUCUUUCUAAAUUAAUAAAAUUGCAUAAGUCCGAAAGCUAUUAAUUUUUAGAGGUUCUACUAAUCUACUGUUCUACUUUCUGUUGAAUACCAGAUUUGCCCCCUUGGUUAUAUGACAAUAUGAAAUGCCUUCUAAAUGUAUGUUUGAAAAAAAUUAAUGAUUGACAUAUAGGAUGAUGUAAGUUGGCAGGCUUGUGGAUGGAAAUGAACCAAAAGAAAAACAGCAAUAAUAAUUAUAAGAUGGAAAAAACAAAAAAAAUCAAAUUCUUUCUAUAGAUAAGUAGAGACUGAACGUAACAACUAACAAGUCUUGAAACCAAGAAGUUUGAAACUGUGGUGGAUAACAAGGAAGAAUUGUCCCCUCUUACAGAAGAUGAAGUGGUCUUUAGAAGUAUUUUACAAGCUGAAUUAUCUCAGUUGGUAAAGAAAAAAGAGAUUUCUUGGCGACAGAAGUCGAGGGUGAGAUGGAGAGUUGAGGGAGAUGAUAACACUACUUUUUUCCAUCGUAAGGCAAAUGCACGGAAUAGAGUAAAUACUAUCAGCAGGUUGAAGGUGGAUGGUGUCUACAUCUCAGAUCAGGUGGCUAUAGGCAAUCAUAUAGUGGAACACUACGAAAAGCUGUAUUCUGUUGACUAUCUGGUUAGACCGCGACUCGAUAAUCUUGGUUUUCGCGAGAUUGAGGCUGAUAACGCAGAUUUGAUGGUGCUACCAUUUACAGAGGAAGAGGUUCUAAGUGCCUUGAAUGAAUUGAAUGGAGAGAGGGCACCAGGGCCUGAUGGUUUCCCGAUGUUAGUGUUCCAAAAGUGUUGGAAUAUCUUCAAGAACGACAUUAUGAACGUUAUGUUUGAAUUCUAUGAGGAUGAGUCUUUUGACUGGCGGAUCAACACAACUUUCAUCUCUUUGAUCCCCAAGAAGGCAUCGGCAGAAUCUUUGAACGAUUACAGACCUAUAAGUCUGGUAGGUGGAAUCUAUAAAAUCCUGUCUAAGGUUCUCUCUACUAGACUCAGAGUGGUUCUUCCUUCUCUCAUUUCACCGGAACAAUGUGCAUUCGUGGGCAAUAGGCAGAUCUUGGAUGGUGUUUUAAUUGCUAAUGAAGUGAUUGAUACUCGUUUGCGAGCUAAACAAGAAGGUCUUAUUUGCAAGGUUGAUAUAGCUAAAGCCUAUGAUUGCGUGAUGUGGGAGUUUCUUGACUACAUGAUGUUGAGGAUGGGUUUUCAAGUGAAAUGGAGGCGAUGGAUAAAAGUGUGCAUCUCUACUGCUCAUUUUUCUAUUUUAGUGGAUGGCUCUCCUCUUGGCCACUUCACGAGUCAAAGGGGACUACGCCAAGGUGAUCCGAUUUCUCCCCUGUUGUUCAAUUUAGUCAUGGAAGCUUUGAAUGGCCUGGUGAAUAGAGUUGUUCAGCUUGGAUAUCUACGUGGUUUUAAACCAGCCCCUGAAGGUCCAGAAGUUGCUAUUCUUCAGUUUGCUGACGAUACUCUCCUGUUUUGUGAUGCCUCAGUCGACCAAGUUCUGGUAAUUAAGUCUAUUCUUUUGAUUUUUGAAGCUGUCAGUGGGCUUAGUAGCAAUAUGGCUAAGACCAAACUUAUGGCCGUUGGGAAUGUGGGCAACCUGGUUGCUAUGGCUGACUUAUUGGGUUGCGGUAUUGAGUCUUUUCCUUCGAGAUACUUAGGCAUGCCUCUUGGUGCAAAAUUUAAAAAUAAGGAAGUGUGGAAUCCAGUCAUUGAAAGAAUCCAGACCAGAUUGAGUGGUUGGCAGUGUAAGCUGAUAUCAAAGGGAGGAAAACUAGUGCUUCUUCAUAGUAUUCUUGCAAACCUUCCAAUCUAUCAGAUGUCCAUGUUGGUGAUCCCAUCUAGUGUGGCCUUUAGGAUAGAAAGCAAAAUGAAGAAUUUUCUAUGGGGAUCGACGAACGAAAAGAGGAAGUACCACUUAAUUGGAUGGAGUAAAGUCUGCGAAAAGAAAGAAUUUGGUGGUUUAGGAUUGCGCAGAAUCGAGCAAAUGAACAAAGCCCUUAGGGGUAAAUGGUUAUGGCGCUAUGGAGCUGAGAAUGGAAGCUUGUGGAAGUUGAUAAUUGAUUCAAAGUAUGGCAAAGGAAUCAAUGAUUGGUGGCCAAAGGCAGUUUCACAACCAUAUGGUGUUUCUCUAUGGAGGGGUGUGAUGAAUCUUUUCUCUGUCUUCAAAACAGGUUUGCAAUGUAAACUUGGAAGUGGCGAGAAAAUAAGAUUCUGGAUUGAUCAUUGGUUGGGUGACGUGCCUCUAUCUCUGCAGUUCCCUGCUAUGUUCAAUGUAUCGACUAAUAAGCAAGGAACUGUGAGCAGUAUGAGGCCACAGGGUAUUGGAGUUGCUGUGUGGGACUUAUGUUUACGAAGGGCAUUACAUGAUUGGGAACUAGAGGAGCAACAGGACUUGCAGAAUCUCUUGAAUAUGGUGGUUUUUGAGGAGGCAGAUGACUCCUGGAGCUGGAAGGGUGAAAAGAGGGGAGUGUUCACAGUCACAUCUUUCUAUGAGCAGAUUGGGGCUAUGGAAAACUCUCGGAGUGCUACAAGGACUCCUUUUCCUUCUCAUUUGGUGUGGCCUAUUAAGAUGCCUUCUAAAUGCAAAAUCUUUUUCUGGUGUGUGCUCCAUAGUAGUAUUCUGACUACAGACAUUCUGAAUCAUAGAGGAACUGUGGUGGACUUGGUGUGUUCCUCAUGUGGUAUGUUCAAUGAGACCAUUUCUCAUGUUUUGCUUCAUUGCCCCCUUGCUUUGCAGGUCUGGUUCGAUCUGUUACAGCCUAGGCAGAGAUGUUAUGAACUUAUUUUGACUACAGAUACAGUAGAAGAACUGCUUAGUAAUUGGCCGGAAGGUAAGGGUAUCCAGCUUGGUAAAAGGGUGUGGGCUCUCCUCCCCUAUGCAGUGGUGUGGUGUUUAUGGAAAGUGCGCAAUGACAGGAUUUUCAGAAAUCGCAUGGUCUCUGUUGAGCGAAUCUCAGUUGAAGUUAAAGCUGUUGUGUGGUAUUGGUGCGGCUACUGGCCAGGGAGGAGGUUGUUUUCUUUUCAGGACUUGAUCUUAAAUUGGUUUGAACUCUUAAAUGGAUUUCUGAUCAAAGGGGGGAUGCAGCAACAACAACAAGAUUAAACUUCUGUAUUCCUUUACUCUCCUUUUGUUGUUUAUGGGGUUUUAACCUGACGGUGCUCUUGGCAUGCGUUUCAGAUGUAUUAUUUAUUUCUUUUAAUAAAAUUCUUCUUAUCAAAAAAAAAAAAAAAAAAACAAGUCUUGAAGAUUGUGACAAUCAUAAUUGCUAUAUUAUUGGUUUAUUGGAUCUUAUACAUACUGUAUUAAUUAUACAAGUGGCCUGGCUGCACCAAGAUAUGGAUGCUUAUGCCAAAAAAAAUAAUUUAAUUGGAUAUCUUAGAUACAAUUAUACAAAAAAAAUCAAUCACAUUGACACCUUCUAUAGUUUUCAGAAACUGUAUCUCUAUGACCACUGACCAGUAUGCUAUAUAUUUAAAAAGCAUGUCAGCAUUAGUGUAUUAGAAGGUUCAAUUCUAUCUGCUGUCUGCCAAGUCCUUUUGCCUUGUUAUUGUAACUUUUGCAAUCAUAACUAUAUAGGACAGAGGGACCAGUAGUGCAGAAUUGCACAUUAGACAUUACCAUGUUCUAAACAAGGGAAGAUGAUACCAAUUAAAUUACUACAGUCUGCACAUACAUUGCCCUUCCAUGUUCAAAACUCAAAAGAAUGAAGGAAGCAAGGUGUUCUUUGCAAAUUUAAUGGCCAUCCACAUGAAAAACACUUAGAAAUUAUUCCGGAAAGAUAAAAAGAAAAGAAAAAGGAAAGAAGAAGGGGAAACAGAAGAGGAAAAUUUUAGCUGAAGAAAGAAACAAAAGGUCUAUGCAACUAUGCAAGACAACACUGAAGACUAGCUCUUUCUUACAUGAGAAUCCAAAGAGACUGUAGAAAGGAAUAAUCUAUGAGAAAAAAAGGGACAAAAGAGAAAAGAUAGGUUAACUUCAUUUUUAUUCAAUCAAUGAAGUGUAUUUAAUCUUGAUUAAUUAAACAAGAAGACGUACGGGACACUAAAUUAAAGUAAUAGAGAUGCUAUAUUCCCACCUUUUCCCAUUUCUUGUACUUGUGUUUUCAUCUUUUGCAACUUAACUAAAUGAGAAAUCCUAUUUGGGUCUUGUGCCAAUUACAAAAUGACCAACAAAUAUAGUAUUUAGAGAUGAGGAAAAGAACUGGGAAUAAAGUAAGAAAACAUUCUUAAUCUUCAGAAACAUAAUGAUCCUAUAUGUUUACUAACUUUUUCACCUUUCUGUUAAAACUUCAGAUCCAUAAUAUCUUAAGAAACAUAAUAAUUCAUAAACUGCAUCACACUAUGCAUUAACAGUGUAACUUUUGCCUGUGCUUCCUCUUGGUGACUUUACUCAAGAGUCAAGAUUAUUUUAAAUGUGGAUGGAUGUUAAUCAGAUCUGAGGAUUGUAUCAAUUUUGGCUUACAAAGUGCAAUUUAUCAGGCAAUAUUUGAUAUAGGGUCAUAUUAAAUAAACUUAUCAAUCAAGUUCAGAGCGUCUUCGGAU